rnacentral:misc_RNA from 1 species
GGGGGAGGAUGCCUAAGGCAGUGCUGGUGACUGGGGUGAAGUCGUAACAAGGUAGCCGUACCGGAAGGUGUGGCUGGAUCACCUCCUUUUUAGGGAGACCUACCCAACUUUAAUAUCGAGGACACACAGUUAAUAGAUAUAAAGAUGGUCAUUCCUAGGUCGGUCGCAAACACUUGUAAAAAGCUUUCAAACUAUGAUUUGGUUCAAUUAUGGGCUAUUAGCUCAGGUGGUUAGA